rnacentral:rRNA from 1 species
GAUGAACGCUGGCGGCGUGCCUAAUACAUGCAAGUCGAGCGAACGGGCGAGAAGCUUGCUUCUCUGAUGUUAGCGGCGGACGGGUGAGUAACACGUGGAUAACCUACCUAUAAGACUGGGAUAACUUCGGGAAACCGGAGCUAAUACCGGAUAAUAUUUUGAACCGCAUGGUUCAAAAGUGAAAGACGGUCUUGCUGUCACUUAUAGAUGGAUCCGCGCUGCAUUAGCUAGUUGGUAAGGUAACGGCUUACCAAGGCAACGAUGCAUAGCCGACCUGAGAGGGUGAUCGGCCACACUGGAACGGAGACACGGUCCAGACUCCUACGGGAGGCAGCAGUAGGGAAUCUUCCGCAAUGGGCGAAAGCCUGACGGAGCAACGCCGCGUGAGUGAUGAAGGUCUUCGGAUCGUAAAACUCUGUUAUUAGGGAAGAACAUAUGUGUAAGUAACUGUGCACAUCUUGACGGUACCUAAUCAGAAAGCCACGGCUAACUACGUG